rnacentral:rRNA from 1 species
UACGUAGGGUGCGAGCGUUGUCCGGAAUUAUUGGGCGUAAAGAGCUUGUAGGCGGUUUGUCGCGUCUGCUGUGAAGACUCGGGGCUCAACUCCGAGCUUGCAGUCGAUACGGGCAGGCUAGAGUUCGGCAGGGGAGACUGGAAUUCCUGGUGUAGCGGUGAAAUGCGCAGAUAUCAGGAGGAACACCGGUGGCGAAGGCGGGUCUCUGGGCCGAUACUGACACUGAGGAGCGAAAGCGUGGGGAGCGAACAGG